CGGGAUGUAAUUCAGUGGCCAGAAGCCGUGCUUUGGGAGCAUGGAGUCGCAGGUUCAAAUCCUGCCAUCCCGA
rnacentral:tRNA from 1 species